CGCUAGCGGCAGGCCUAACACAUGCAAGUCGAGGGGUAUUAGGAGCUUGCUUCUGAGAGACCGGCGCACGGGUGAGUAACGCGUAUGCAAUCUACCUUUCACAAGAGAAUAGCCCGGAGAAAUCCGGAUUAAUGCUCUAUAGUGUAUAGAACUGGCAUCGGUUUUAUAAUAAAGAUUUAUCGGUGAAAGAUGAGCAUGCGUCUCAUUAGCUAGUUGGUGUGGUAACGGCAUACCAAGGCAAUGAUGAGUAGGGGUCCUGAGGGGGAGAUCCCCCACACUGGUACUGAGACACGGACCAGACUCCUACGGGAAGGCAGCAGUGAGGAAUAUUGGUCAAUGGAGGCAACUCUGAACCAGCCAUGCCGCGUGCAGGAUGACGAUCCUAUGGAUUGUAAACUGCUUUUGUACAGGAAGAAAUGCAA
rnacentral:rRNA from 1 species